rnacentral:rRNA from 1 species
UAGCUAAUCCUGGUCGGACAUCAGGAGGUUAGUGCAAUGGCAUAAGCUAGCUUGACUGCGAGCGUGACGGCGCGAGCAGGUGCGAAAGCAGGUCAUAGUGAUCCGGUGGUUCUGAAUGGAAGGGCCAUCGCUCAACGGAUAAAAGGUACUCCGGGGAUAACAGGCUGAUACCGCCCAAGAGUUCAUAUCGACGGCGGUGUUUGGCACCUCGAUGUCGGCUCAUCACAUCCUGGGGCUGAAGUAGGUCCCAAGGGUAUGGCUGUUCGCCAUUUAAAGUGGUACGCGAGCUGGGUUUAGAACGUCGUGAGACAGUUCGGUCCCUAUCUGCCGUGGGCGCUGGAGAAUUGAGGGGGGCUGCUCCUAGUACGAGAGGACCGGAGUGGACGCAUCACUGGUGUUCGGGUUGUCAUGCCAAUGGCACUGCCCGGUAGCUAAAUGCGGAAGAGAUAAGUGCUGAAAGCAUCUAAGCACGAAACUUGCCCCGAGAUGAGUUCUCCCUGAGACUUUAAGUCUCCUGAAGGAACGUUGAAGACGA